UCUACUCACGAGUUCAAUGUACGUGGCUCCUCCGUUCCCAGCUCCUUCCACUCAAUCCCUCGCCGCCUCCCCAUCGUUGCGCUUCGCCUCCCCAGUCCGCCGGCAGAGCGUGAGAAAGUAGGACGAGGACAAGAUGACAAUCAGGUCGUCUGUGCGGUGCGCUGGCGGGGAGCUGUCUGUCAGCGGUGAUGUCCGUCCGGUCGGACACGGUCUCGGCGCCGUCCACGGCGGCUAGGGGCCCGUGGACGCCGUCUUUCUCGGUGCCGACUUCACCCAGUAGGCCUCCGCCGGCCGCCGCGUCGUCCCCCUUGGCGCUAUGAGUUUAUAGCGUGUCAUGGAUGACAGUGACACAUAGUAUGGGGGACCAGGGCUGCGACGUACCGCACGACACGCAGCUCCUGCUGGUGGAGUCCAAGGCCGGGUUCAGGCCCGCGGCGAGGUCGUGUUCCUCACGCUGCGUUCCGGGCCAGCCUCAAGGGCAACGGCGCUGGCGGCGACGAGCUCCAGCUCUGCACCCAGAGCGGCGACACCGACACGCGCGCCAGUUCAGUUCAGUGUUAAUCUCGGUCACCGAUGGUUGAGCUGCAGGGCUCCUUGGGGUUGGAGAUGGCAUGAGAUGCAGAGCUCCUUGUGCCACUCUCUUUACAAAGACUAUACAAAAGGAUCAGCAAAGAAGGACUCAAGUUUGCAACCACCACAGAGAUAAGGCUAUCGAACAUUAGUGUGUGGCUGUUCUGUGCAAUUUUUCUCUCAUCGAGGUAUGCCUCCGUCUCACUGGGCCAGGGCUCGACUUGCCUACCACAUAUUUGUUUUGUUUGCUGCAGUGUUGUAAGAUUGGAGUGCGUUGAGUAUGCAAUCCUGAUUCCAGGAAAAAAAGAUUAUGCAGUCUAUCGCACAUGUUCGGUUUGGAGGGGCCCUGUAGAUGAUGGUUAGAUUUUGUUUCCGUUCAGUGAUUUAUUCAAAUGAUUCAGAGUAAAUCCAAAGCCAUUUGUUGCCUCUUGAAUUUCUGGUUCUAACUCAUGCAGAAAAUCUCUCAUGGUUCUACUUCUACCUUAUGUAGAAAAGCGAAUUAUCUGUUGAUGAGCUUGUUGCUGUUUGGUACUGACCAUAUUAGUUCCCUAGGGCUGUAAAAAUAAAAACUUCAUUUCUACCCUAUGAAUAAGUGUCAAAGAUGUUUUGUAGAUUGCAAGUUUGAUUUCUUUUUCUUCAACAUGGUUGAUUUAGUUUCUCACCUUGCUUAAAAAUUCGUGGAAUGUUGCCGGUCCAGCCUAUGCAGAUAAUGUAUCUGUUAUCAUGUGAUCAUGACAGAAAGUUAUUUAUUUGUUAUAUACCUGCAGCUCACUUUGUUAACUUCCACAGCACCAUUUCAUUUUUUUCACAGUGGGUUAGACAAGUGUGGUUUUCAGGUGUAGUUGCCUAUUAGUUUUUUAGUUUUCCUGUCUCGGUUUCUUCCAGCCUAUAAGUUACUUAGUUUGAUUAUUGCAUCUACAGUUUAUUCCUGCUUCUACUUCUAUUUCUACUUUAUUUCUGUAUUUACAUUUGAAUUAUUUCUUUACCUACUUUAUACUUUAUUUCUGCUUCUACUUUUUUUCUGCACCUACAGUUUCAGUGCUUUAUAUGCUCGUGGAGCUAUGGCUCUGUUGCAUUGGGCUAAGGUUUGAUUGCUUGCAGCAGUAUGUCAAGGUGUAGGUGCAGACUCAUUGUUGAUGUUGAAUACUGGAGUAAGAAUGAUGAUCAAUGCUCUAAUGAACUUGCAUGAUGUAGCAUUACUAUUAGGAUAUAGGGCUAGGCACAUACUCUUUUUGACAGCGGGUAGACAAGUACUCCCUCCGUUCGGAAUUACUUGUCGUGAAAAUGGAUGUAUCUAGACGUAUUUUAGUUCUAGAUACAUCCAUUUUCGCGACAAGUAAUUCCGAACGGAGGGAGUAUGUUUCAGGUGUAUUUGCCUAUUGUUUUUUUUUUAGUUUUUCUGUGUCGAUUUCUCUUUUACUGUAAAGCAGAGGCUGACUGUUAGUUUUUGUCGAGUCGAGAGUUGUUUUACUUGGAAGAUCGCAACAUUGCCGAUAGAAGAAUGAGUUUUAUAGCAAAUCAGGUUCAGACUUCUAUCUAAUUUCUUGGUUACAUCACCAUGAUGGUUGGAAUAUAAUUAAGACUUUGGGCCCACUGAACAUUAGAAGCUGCAUGGAUGAUGAGAUCAUCUAUGACAUUGAUGGGCGGUGCACUGUGAUUGUGAGUAUCUAUAUAGAUCACAUUAACACAUGGGUUUGUCUAGCAUGCUCACUAUCCAGUUACGCCACGCCCAGGUACCAUUGGCAGUGUAUUUCAGCUAUAUGUAAUCGGUCGGCUAUAUAGCAGCAGUGUACCACUGUCUUGUGUUGGUGCUUGUCCAAUCAAACAUAGUUAUGUAGCUAACAUCAUUUUGUCUUGUCUACCCAUGUCUUUUGUCUAAGCUGUAACCCUAGCUGCAUACUACCUAUCUUUUUUAACCUGGUCAUGUACUUGUGUUUUUAUCCAUGUUCAGUGCUGCUAUAUAGAAUCGAUGUUUUAUUUCCUCUUGUAUUUUGAAAGAUUGCCUUGGUUCGUACUGUUUAAGAGUGAUGUACUCCCUCCGUUCCCAAAUAUAAGUCUUUCUAGAGAUUUCAACAAGUGACUACAUACGGAGCAAAAUGAGUGAAUCUACACUCUAAAAUAUGUCCACAUACAUCCGUAUGUUGUAGUCCAUUUGAAAUGUCUAAAAAGACUUAUAUUCAGGAACACAGGAAGUAUAAGAUAAGGGUUAUUCAAUAGAAUUUAUAUGCUUGGGAAAGGUUUUGAUGGAAAUCAGUGGAUGGUAACCAUGUCGUAGUGUGAUGUAAAUGCCAUUUGAAUCUUGAUUGUGGUAACCUGCUAUUUUUUUCCUCUUUAUUGCUGACAUUUUGGUCUCUCGGAAUAUUUUAGUGCCAUUUGAAUUCAGAUAAUUUUGUUACUCAUGCAUAGAGCAUUUGCAUAUGAAAGGUGGUAUGCGUGAUUGCAACCAAUCUUACAUGUGUUUGUAUUGUUGUUUGAACAGGAACUUUUCAUCAAAGGAACUGCAAUGGCCAAAUCUCUUGUGACCGAUGACCCGACGGAGCCAUUUUUUUUUCUUGGCGUGAACUGGUCACCUUAUGGUUCUAACUGGGAUGCAUGCUUUGCUGCGUGCUUAAAACACUAUUAUUGUAUCUGGCAUCAUAUCCACAUUAGCUCACUCCCUCUUCUGAACAUUGUAUUUUUUUCCAUAUGAAAACCGAUUUAAGUUAUU